rnacentral:rRNA from 1 species
AAUAGAUACCCAGUAGUCCACGCCGUAAACGAUGAGUGCUAAGUGUUAGAGGGUUUCCGCCCUUUAGUGCUGCAGCUAACGCAUUAAGCACUCCGCCUGGGGAGUACGGCCGCAGGGCUGAAACUCAAAGGAAUUGACGGGGGCCCGCACAAGCGGUGGAGCAUGUGGUUUAAUUCGAAGCAACGCGAAGAACCUUACCAGGUCUUGACAUCCUCUGCCAACCCUAGAGAUAGGGCGUUCCCCUUCGGGGGACAGAGUGACAGGUGGUGCAUGGUUGUCGUCAGCUCGUGUCGUGAGAUGUUGGGUUAAGUCCCGCAACGAGCGCAACCCUUGAUCUUAGUUGCCAGCAUUCAGUUGGGCACUCUAAGGUGACUGCCGGUGACAAACCGGAGGAAGGUGGGGAUGACGUCAAAUCAUCAUGCCCCUUAUGACCUGGGCUACACACGUGCUACAAUGGAUGGUACAAAGAGCUGCGAACCCGCGAGGGUAAGCGAAUCUCAUAAAGCCAUUCUCAGUUCGGAUUGU